CCCUUAGAUGUUCUGGGCCGCACGCGCGCUACACUGAUGCAUUCAACAAGCCUAGCCUUGACCGAGAGGUCCGGGUAAUCUUUGAAACUGCAUCGUGAUGGGGCUAGAUUAUUGCAAUUAUUAAUCUUCAACGAGGAAUGCCUAGUAAGCGUGAUUCAUCAAAUCGCGUUGACUACGUCCCUGCCCUUUGUACACACCGCCCGUCGCUCCUACCGAUUGAAUGUGUUGGUGAGGAGCUCGGAUUGGCAGCAGUUGGUGGUUCGCCACCGGCUAUUGCUGAGAAGUCCUCCAAACCGCCCCAUUUAGAGGAAGGAGAAGUCGUAACA
rnacentral:rRNA from 1 species